rfam:Triticum aestivum genome assembly, contig: Triticum_aestivum_CS42_TGACv1_scaffold_221394_3B
CUUAUAUUCCCUCCGUCCGGAAAUACUUGUCCCCAAAAUGAUUGUAUGUAGACUUAUUUUAGUUAUAGAUACAUCCAUUUUAUCCAUUUGUUGGACAAGUAUUUCCCGACAGAGGGAGUAUUUA